UGGUAGCUCAGUUGGUUAGAGCGGCGGAUUCUUAACCCGCAGGUCGAGGGUUCGACUCCCUCCCG
rnacentral:tRNA from 1 species